UACGGAGGGUGCAAGCGUUGUCCGGAUUUAUUGGGUUAAAGGGUGCGUAGGCGGCCUUUUAAGUCAGUGGUGAAAUCCUCCAGCUUAACUGGAGAACUGCCAUUGAUACUGAAAGGCUUGAGUACAGACGAGGUAGGCGGAAUUGACAGUGUAGCGGUGAAAUGCAUAGAUAUUGUCAAGAACACCGAUUGCGUAGGCAGCUUACUAGGCUGUAACUGACGCUGAGGCACGAAAGUGCGGGGAUCAAACAGG
rnacentral:rRNA from 1 species